UAGGGAAUCUUCGGCAAUGGACGAAAGUCUGACCGAGCAACGCCGCGUGAGUGAAGAAGGUUUUCGGAUCGUAAAACUCUGUUGUUAGAGAAGAACAAGGACGUUAGUAACUGAACGUCCCCUGACGGUAUCUAACCAGAAAGCCACGGCUAACUACGUGCCAGCAGCCGCGGUAAUACGUAGGUGGCAAGCGUUGUCCGGAUUUAUUGGGCGUAAAGCGAGCGCAGGCGGUUUCUUAAGUCUGAUGUGAAAGCCCCCGGCUCAACCGGGGAGGGUCAUUGGAAACUGGGAGGCUUGAGUGCAGAAGAGGGGAGUGGAAUUCCAUGUGUAGCGGUGAAAUGCGUAGAUAUAUGGAGGAACACCAGUGGCGAAGGCGGCUCUCUGGUCUGUAACUGACGCUGAGGCUCGAAAGCGUGGGGAGCAAACAGG
rnacentral:rRNA from 1 species